GGCGUCCGAGUUGUAAUUUGCAGAGGGCGCUUUGGCAUUGGCAGCGGUCCAAGUUCCUUGGAACAGGACGUCACAGAGGGUGAGAAUCCCGUACGUGGUCGCUAGCCUUUACCGUGUAAAGCCCCUUCGACGAGUCGAGUUGUUUGGGAAUGCAGCUCUAAAUGGGAGGUAAAUUUCUUCUAAAGCUAAAUACUGGCCAGAGACCGAUAGCGCACAAGUAGAGUGAUCGAAAGAUGAAAAGCACUUUGGAAAGAGAGUUAAAAAGCACGUGAAAUUGUUGAAAGGGAAGCGCUUGCAGCCAGACUUGCCUGUAGUUGCUCAUCCGGGUUUUUACCCGGUGCACUCUUCUACGGGCAGGCCAGCAUCAGUUUGGGCGGUUGGAUAAAGGUCUCUGUCAUGUACCUCCUCUCGGGGAGAACUUAUAGGGGAGACGACAUGCAACCAGCCCGGACUGAGGUCCGCGCAUCUGCUAGGAUGCUGGCGUAAUGGCUGUAAGCGGCCCGUCUUGAAACACGGACCAAGGAGUCUAACAUCUAUGCGAGUGUUUGGGUGUCAAGCCCGAGCGCGUAAUGAAAGUGAACGGAGGUGGGAACCUUUCGGGGUGCACCAUCGACCGAUCCUGAUGUCUUCGGAUGGAUUUGAGUAAGAGCAUAGCUGUUGGGACCCGAAAGAUGGUGAACUAUGCUUGAAUAGGGUGAAGCCAGAGGAAACUCUGGUGGAGGCUCGCAGCGGUUCUGACG
rnacentral:rRNA from 3 species